rnacentral:rRNA from 1 species
AAAAGCUCGUAGUUGGAUCUCAGUUCCAGACGGGUGGUCCGCCUACCGGUGGUUACUGCCUGUUCUGAACAGCCAGCCGGUUUCUCUUGAUGAUCUUCACCGGUUGUCUUGGGUGACCGGCAAGUUUACUUUGAAAAAAUUAGAGUGCUCAAAGCAGGCGUGACGCCUGAAUAAUGGUGCAUGGAAUAAUGGAAUAGGACCUCGGUUCUAUUUUGUUGGUUUUCGGAACACGAGGUAAUGAUUAAGAGGGACAGACGGGGGCAUUCGUAUUGCGACGCUAGAGGUGAAAUUCUUGGACCGUCGCAAGACGAACUACUGCGAAAGCAUUUGCCAAGAAUGUUUCCAUUAAUCAAGAACGAAAGUUAGAGGUUCGAAGGCGAUCAGAUACCGCCCUAGUUCUAACCAUAAACGAUGCCAGCCAGCGAUCCGGCUGUGUUCCUCAAAUGACACGCCGGGCAGCUUCCGGGAAACCAAAGCUUUUGGGUUCCGGGGGAAGUAUGGUUGCAAAGCUGAAACUUAAAGGAAUUGACGGAGAGGCACCACCAGGAGUGGAGCUUGCGGCUUAAUUUGACUCAACGCGGGAAAACGUACCCGGUCAGGACACAGGAAGGAUUGACAGAUUGACAGCUCUUUCUUGAUUCUGUGGGUGGUGGUGCAUGGCCGUUCUUAGUUGGUGGAGCGAUUUGUCUGGUUAAUUCCGAUAACGAGCGAGACUCUAGCCUACUAAAUAGACGUUCCGAUCAUCUGCGUCGGACGUUCUUCUUAGAGGGACAAGCGGCGUUUAGCCGCACGAGACAGAGCAAUAACAGGUCUGUGAUGCCCUUAGAUGUCCGGGGCCGCACGCGUGCUACAUUGAAGGAAUCAGCGUGUGCUUUCCCUGUCCGACAGGACUGGGUAACCCGUUGAAACUCCUUCGUGCUGGGGAUAGGAGUUUGUAAUUGUCCUCCUUGAACGAGGAACUCCCAGUAAGCGCGAGUCAUUAUCUCGUGUUGAUUACGUCCCUGCCUCUUGUACACACCGCCCGUCGCCACUACCGAUCGAAUGAUUUAGUGAGGUCUUCGGACCGGCGCCCGAACCGGCUUUCGAGUCGGGUCGGCGUGCCAGAAAGAUGACCAAACUUGAUCAUUUAGAGGAAGUGAAAGUCGUAACAAGGUCUCC